rnacentral:rRNA from 1 species
UACGAAGGGGGCUAGCGUUGCUCGGAAUCACUGGGCGUAAAGCGCACGUAGGCCGAUUGUUAAGUCAGGGGUGAAAUCCUGGAGCUCAACUCCAGAACUGCCCUUGAUACUGACGGUCUCGAGUCCGGGAGAGGUGAGUGGAAUUCCGAGUGUAGAGGUGAAAUUCGUAGAUAUUCGGAGGAACACCAGUGGCGAAGGCGGCUCACUGGUCCGGUACUGACGCUGAGGUGCGAAAGCGUGGGGAGCGAACAGG